AAAAAAAGCAGGAGUCGUUACAUUCAGCCACCGGCCCGCGUUCGUGGAUCUAUUGCAGUUUGAACAGAACAGAAAAUGAGGCUUUUCGAAGCACGGUGCUGGAGUCAAACAGGAAACCAGUCGGUAUAGUAAAGGAGCUCUCCCAGUGUUCACGGCAGCUUUGUGACCCUUUCUGAGUGGAGGUUCUUCGGAUGAAGUAGCUGUGCUGAUAGUGUGGUCACCAGGAACAGUGAUUGACAGCGAGAGACCCCCACCCCUUUCCCCUACCCCCUCCCCUAGCAACAUGGACAGUGAGGAUGAGGUACGUACCAACUGGAGAGAAAGGGAGGG